CAGGAAGUAGUUUAAUCAGAAUAUCAACUUUGGGUGUUGAUGGUGGGGGAGCAGUCCUUCCUUCUUGA
rnacentral:tRNA from 1 species